rnacentral:lncRNA from 1 species
UUUAGAAGACGUUCUAAUUUGUUGAGAUGCUCUUCAGUUAAAUCCAGAUAACACACAUCAGCAUAAUCAAUUAUAGGCAGAAGAAGUGCAUGGGUAAGCAAAAUCUUCGUCUUUGUUGGAAGAAAAUGUUUUAAGCGUUGCAGAUAAUGCAGAACACUGUAAACUUUCCGACUGCAUAUAAUGCAACGCGAAAGUUUUAAAU